AUGCUCACUUCAGUAGCACAUAUACAAAAAUUGGAAUAAUACAGAGAAGAUUAACAUGGUCCCUGUACAAGAAUGACAUGCAAAUUCAUGAAGUAUUUCCCUUUUUU
rnacentral:snRNA from 1 species